GCGGGAAUAGCUCAGUUGGUAGAGCACGACCUUGCCAAGGUCCGGGUCGCGAGUUCGAGUCUCGUUUCCCGCU
rnacentral:tRNA from 1 species